rnacentral:rRNA from 1 species
UGAGGAAUAUUGGUCAAUGGGCGAGAGCCUGAACCAGCCAAGUAGCGUGCAGGAUGACGGCCCUAUGGGUUGUAAACUGCUUUUAUGUGGGGAUAAAGUGCGUGACGUGUCAUGCAUUGCAGGUACCACAUGAAUAAGGACCGGCUAAUUCCGUGCCAGCAGCCGCGGUAAUACGGAAGGUCCGGGCGUUAUCCGGAUUUAUUGGGUUUAAAGGGAGCGUAGGCUGUCUAUUAAGCGUGUUGUGAAAUUUACCGGCUCGACCGGUGGCUUGCAGCGCGAACUGGUCGACUUGAGUAUGCAGGAAGUAGGCGGAAUUCAUGGUGUAGCGGUGAAAUGCUUAGAUAUCAUGACGAACUCCGAUUGCGCAGGCAGCUUACUGUAGCAUAACGGACGCUGAUGCUCGAAAGGGCGGGUAUCAAACAGG